rnacentral:rRNA from 1 species
GACGAACGCUGGCGGCGUGCUUAACACAUGCAAGUCGCACGAGUGGCGAACGGGGGAGUAACACGUGGGUGAUCUGCCUUGCACUUCGGGAUAAGCUUGGGAAACUGGGUCCAAUACCGGAUUGUGCAUGAUGAGCUCGCGGCCUAUCAGCUUGUUGGUGGGGUAAUGGCUACCAAGGCGCGACGGGUAGCCGGCCUGAGAGGGGGUACGGAAACAUGGGGACUGGGAUACGGCACAGAAUCAGAGGGGAGGCAGCAGUGGGGAAGAUUGCACAAGGGGCGGAAGACUGAUGCAGAGAAGCUGGGGGGGGGAUGAAGGCCGUCGGGUUGUAAAAGCCGUUCGACAGGGAAGCGUUACCUGGAUAAGAAGCACCGGCUAACUACGUGCCAGCAGCCGCGGUAAUAC